rnacentral:rRNA from 1 species
ACGGCCAUAGAUAAAGGAAAAUACGGGAUCCCGUCCGCUCUCCCCUAGUCAAACCUUCAAUCGGCGGAUUAGUAGUUGGGUCGGUGACGACCAGCGAAUACCCGCUGCUGUACGUU